rnacentral:rRNA from 1 species
UACAGAGGUCUCAAGCGUUGUUCGGAUUCAUUGGGCGUAAAGGGUGCGUAGGCGGCUUGGCAAGUCGGAUGUGAAAGCCCUCGGCUCAACCAAGGAAGUGCAUCCGAAACUGCUGAGCUUGAGUACUUAAGAGGAUCGCGGAAUUCCCGGUGUAGAGGUGAAAUUCGUAGAUAUCGGGAGGAACACCGGUGGCGAAGGCGGCGACCUGGGUAGAUACUGACGCUGAGGUGCGAAAGCGUGGGGAGCAAACAGG